CAGCACUCUGCUUCUUCGUCUCUGAAAACACUACAGAGUGACGACAUGUCCUCAGCCCUUCCCUGUUUUAAAAAAAGGGAACUGCUGAAGACAAUUGAUCUGAUUCUAGCCCUGUGUGACUUUGUGAGGCUACAGUACUGAGAUGAGAACACAGUCUAUUCUAGAACACAGAGGCUAUGACACUCCAAACCAACAGUCCAUUCUAGAACACAUGACACUCCAAACCAACAGUCCAUUCUAGAACACAGAGGCUAUGACACUCCAAACCAACAGUCCAUUCUAGAACACAGUGGCUAUGACACUCCAAACCAACAGUCCAUUCUAGAACACAGAAGCUAUGACACUCCAAACCAACAGUCCAUUCUAGAACACAGAGGCUAUGACACUCUAAACCAACAGUCCAUUCUAGAACACAGAAGCUAUGACACUCCAAACCAACAGUCCAUUCUAGAACACAGAGGCUAUGACAUUCCAAACCAACAGUCCAUUCUAGAACACAGUGGCUAUGACACUCCAAACCAACAGUCCAUUCUAGAACACAGAGGCUAUGACACUCCAAACCAACAGUCCAUUCUAGAACACAGUGGCUAUGACACUCCAAACCAACAGUCCAUUCUAGAACACAGUGGCUAUUCCACUCCAAACCAACAGUCCAUUCUAGAACACAGAGGCUAUGACACUCCAAACCAACAGUCCAUUCUAGAACACAGAGGCUAUGACACUCCAAACCAACAGUCCAUUCUAGAACACAGAGGCUAUGACACUCCAAACCAACAGUCCAUUCUAGAACACAGAAGCUAUGACACUCCAAACCAACAGUCCAUUCUAGAACACAGAGGCUAUGACACUCCAAACCAACAGUCCAUUCUAGAACACAGAAGCUAUGACACGCCAAACCAACAGUCCAUUCUAGAACACAGUGGCUAUGGCACGCCAAACCAACAGUCCAUUCUAGAACACAGAAGCUAUGACACUCCAAACCAACAGUCCAUUCUAGAACACAGUGGCUAUGACACGCCAAACCAACAGUCCAUUCUAGAACACAGAGGCUAUGACACUCCAAACCAACAGUCCAUUCUAGAACACAGUGGCUAUGACACUCCAAAC
rnacentral:lncRNA from 1 species